AGGGUUUGAUCAUGGCUCAGAUUGAACGCUGGCGGCACGCCUAACACAUGCAAGUCGAGCGGUAACAUAAUGAGUAGCAAUACUCAUUGAUGACGAGCGGCGGACGGGUGAGGAACACGUAGGAACCUGCCUAGAAGUGGGGGACAACCAAGGGAAACUUUGGCUAAUACCGCAUAUACUCGCGAGAGGAAAGUUGCCCGCAAGGGUGACGCUUUUAGAGGGGCCUGCGUCCGAUUAGCUAGUUGGUGAGGUAAGAGCUCACCAAGGCGAUGAUCGGUAACUGGUCUGAGAGGACGACCAGUCACACUGGGACUGAGACACGGCCCAGACUCCUACGGGAGGCAGCAGUGGGGAAUCUUGGACAAUGGGGGCAACCCUGAUCCAGCGAUGCCGCGUGGGUGAAGAAGGCCUUCGGGUUGUAAAGCCCUUUAGGUUGGGACGAAGGUGAUUAUCGGAUAAUGGUAGUUACUUGACGGUACCGACAGAAUAAGCACCGGCAAACUCUGUGCCAGCAGCCGCGGUAAUACAGAGGGUGCGAGCGUUAAUCGGAUUUACUGGGCGUAAAGGGUGCGUAGGCGGUUUGGUGGGUGUGAUGUGAAAGCCCUGGGCUUAACCUAGGAAGCGCAUCGCAAACUACCCAACUGGAGUAGAUGAGAGGGUGGCGGAAUUUCCGGUGUAGCGGUGAAAUGCGUAGAGAUCGGAAGGAACGUCAAUGGCGAAGGCAGCCACCUGGCAUCAUACUGACGCUGAGGCACGAAAGCGUGGGGAGCGAACAGGAUUAGAUACCCUGGUAGUCCACGCUGUAAACGAUGAGGACUAGAUGUUGGUGGGGGAACCCAUCAGUAUCGAAGCUAACGCGAUAAGUCUUCCGCCUGGGAAGUACGGCCGCAAGGUUGAACUCAAAUGAAUUGACGGGGGCCCGCACAAGCGGUG
rnacentral:rRNA from 1 species